rnacentral:rRNA from 1 species
GACGAACGCUGGCGGCGUGCUUAAUACAUGCAAGUCGAACGGAAAGGCCCUGCUUUUGUGGGGUGCUCGAGUGGCGAACGGGUGAGUAACACGUGAGUCACCUGCCCUUGACUUUGGGAUAACUUCAGGAAACUCGGGCUAAUACCGGAUAGGAGCUCCUGCUGCAUGGUGGGGGUUGGAAAGUUUCGGCGGUUGGGGUUGGUCUCGCGGCUUAUCAGCUUGUUGGUGGGGUAGGGGCUGACAACGGCUUUGACGGGUAGCCGGCCUUAGAGGGGCGCCGGCCACAAUGGUACUGAGAGACGGCCCAGACUCCUACGGGAGGCAGCGGUGGGGAAUAUGGCGGAAUGGGCGGAAGCCUGAGGCAGCGACGCCGCGUGCGGGAUGACGGCCUUCGAGUUGUAAACCGCUUUCGCCGGUGACGAAGCGUGAGUGACGGUAAUGGGUAAAGAAGCACCGGCUAACUACGUG